CGGGAAUUAGCGCAGUUUGGUAGCGCGCAUCGUUCGGGACGAUGAGGCCGCAGGUUCAAAUCCUGUAUUCCCGACCA
rnacentral:tRNA from 2 species